CUGUUGCCGGGUUUCUGUAACCACAUUCAUAUCUACUGACUUUCUUUCUGAGACGAGUGAUGCAAGUGACCUUCUGAGCUACUCUCUGAACCAGACAGGCCUGUGCAGGAACAAAUGCACAAUGAGGGACGUCUGCAGAGACUGAGAAAGAGUCUCACCACAUUCUGACAUCAGGAAAAAGACUUUAUUGAAGACUGCAAUGAGAAAAACUAUCAGACAGCAGACGGCAUGCAUUCAAGAGAAGAAGACGAUCAAACAUUCACGUCAGCUGAUGGAGGUCCAAGAGUCUCACCGAACAACCAACCUACAGAGUGAAGACCUCGAAUCUGAUUGGACGGCCUCCUAUUCAGCCACGUGUGAACAAAUGCCUCUAAGUUGAUUUGUUUUCUAAAAUAAAUCUAGUUUGAGUCCUAAUCUAUGCC
ensembl:lncRNA